UACGUAGGGUGCAAGCGUUAAUCGGAAUUACUGGGCGUAAAGCGUGCGCAGGCGGUUUUGUAAGUCUGUCGUGAAAUCCCCGGGCUCAACCUGGGAAUUGCGAUGGAGACUGCAAGGCUAGAAUCUGGCAGAGGGGGGUAGAAUUCCACGUGUAGCAGUGAAAUGCGCAGAGAUCGGGAGGAACACCCGUAGCGAAGGCGGCACUCUGGGCCGAUACUGACGCUGAGGAGGCGAAAAGCCAGGGGGAGCCAAACGGG
rnacentral:rRNA from 1 species